GAAAAUGUCAUCAAAGUAAGUGGGACAUGACAAAUCUGAUGAGUGGACAUUAUCAGAUAAUAUCAAAUUCUCGACUGCAGGUAUGGGAAGAUGAUCAACUCUAGUUGCUGCUCAAAAGCGUUUAGUGAAUAGUGAUAUGCUGGAUUUUGAAAUAUGGAAUACGACAUGUCAAGUCUACAGAAAAAUAAUUCAACUCUACUAGAAAUCUCCACAAGUCUGAUCAACAUUCCAUAGACAAGAGAUAUAGUUUGUGGAAAUCCUGCAUUGGCUUGAAACACUUACAAAUAUAAAGACGGUAGUCUAUAUGGAAUGGAGAAAGCCAAGGAGAGUAACUUGGGCACAUAAAAAAUGGCUUGCACUAAUUGACUGCACUCAGUCAUGCUACAAAGCUAUCACAUUUUUUCUUGAUUCAGUUCUUUUGUUUGUCAACUCUUACUGAUCUGUAGGGUGAUCUUGUUUUGAAUGUUUUUUUUUUUUGUGUGUGUGGG
rnacentral:misc_RNA from 1 species